UACGGAGGGUGCGAGCGUUGUCCGGAAUCACUGGGCGUAAAGGGCGCGUAGGCGGCUCAUGAAGGCUGUGGUGAAAGUCCGGGGCUCAACCUCGGAUCGGCCGUGGCGACUCGUGGGCUGGAGCACUGUAGAGGCGGGUGGAAUUCCGGGUGUAGCGGUGGAAUGCGUAGAGAUCGGGAGGAACACCCGUAGCGAAGGCGGCAUUCUGGGCCGGUACUGACGCUGAGGAGCGAAAGCGUGGGGAGCAAACAGG
rnacentral:rRNA from 1 species